AAGGGCCCAGAGUCCAGGUCUGUCAAAAUCCUUCUGUAUCUUAAGCCUAUCUUCUGGAGUGUUGGCUAUUCUUGCCAGCUUGGUGUCAUCUGCAAAUUUGAUGAAAUCUCCAUCUAUCCCCUCAUUCAAAUCAUUGAAGAAUAUAUUG